rnacentral:lncRNA from 1 species
GUGCAAGGGAGGGAGGGUAUGGUGAGAAGAGACCCAGGUAUAGUGAGAAGAGGCCUGGGCGGGAGCAGGAGGCAGGACUGAGGCUUCCGCUGGGUGCAUGAGCUCAGUCGGGGGCAGGCCACACCUGAGGUCCAGACGGAAGACCACAGCCCCGGGAGUCAGGCACCAGCAGAGGCCUGCGUGGGAAAGGGAGCCUGCUCUGCCCUGAGGACAUGGGGGCUCUGGGAGGAGGAAGUGGAAAACGUCCUGAAGGAGCGGGCACUGGCCCAGCAGAGUCGGAGUCACCUUUCACGGACACACAGACCCUCUGCGGUGGAAGGGCAGGUGCUGUGAUUCCUACAGAUGCACAGAGCUCAAAGUUCAUGGCUCACCCAGGUGGAACCGGGAGGAAAAGAUGCGUUCAUGGAAGGAGCCCAGUCACCAGCCAAGCAGCUCACCGAAGGCCCAGGUCUCCCUCUGUCGUUUCCCACUAGAUACACACGGAUGAAGCCAGAUAGAUAACAGACAGGUAGAGGAUAGAUAGGC